ensembl:lncRNA
GAAAAUGAUGCAGUAGCUAAACUGUUUCAGUUGAUAAUUAUUGUUAUUAUUAUUAUUUUUUUAACAAAUUCUGCUAAUAAUAAUAAUAAUAUCUCUGUUGAUUUGAACCAGCGAUGAUGAGUUGCCGUCGUCAUUUGAUACUCUGCGUCCUCUUAUUGCUAUUUGAUGAAGGGUCACUGAGGUACAUCCCAUUCCCAGCAACACCCCUCAUCCCUGCUGCCUACACAUUGGAGCCACAGGGAGACCUCUCAACAAGCCAAGAUGUCCUCCCUCCUUCCCCAUCAAAUCUUCUGAACCAAAUUCACCACAAUCCUACACCAGCAUUCAAAGAUCAGCACAACACACCAUCCCAUCAAGAUAUUAUUAAUCUAUCUGGAUUUUCAACCAUUAGCAAUACUGACCACUUUGACUCAAUAUCCACAACUUCUCCAAGUGGUGGUCUCAAAUUCAAUGCCAGCCGGAAUGCCAGUCAACUUUUCAAUGAUCGAACAUCAUCAUCAUCAGCUCACGAUAUUGGCUACACUGAACGGAUAGACAACGAAACUAAAAUGGCGACCGCUAGUGGUUGGAAUAACAGCAGUAAUGUUACACCUUCCUCUUCUUCUGUUGUUUCUUAUUCUGAGCUAAACAACUCUCUUGUUGGAACCAACAUUAGCCAGAGCAAUGCUAGUGGCCACACUGAAGAUCUCUCUGUGACUUUGGAGGACUGUCCUCAUCCGAAUGGAUCUGUGGUGGUGCUGGAAACAAGUGAUCCGUUAGCCGAUCACGUUGAUCCUAUGUCAGCCCCUGACAUCAUUGACUUCUACACUCAUCGGAUAGAUUCUGUCUCGGUCACCGAUGACCUUGGCAACACUAGUCUUAGUUUACAUCGUAACAACACUAACGUUACUGUCACAGUAGAUACUAGUGCAAUAGUUACUGAGACGGCAGCGCAGGCUGAACCGAACACAGACUUGAUGCUGGGCCUGGAGGAGGAGGAAGAGCGGGAAGAAGAGGAGGAGGUAGAGCGGGAAGAAGAGGAGGAGGUAGAGUGGGAAGAAGAGGAGGAAGAAGCCAGUGGCCAUCUUAAUACUACUCAGGAUGCUUCACUCUCAGACCCCCUGAUCGACAAUAUUAAUCAUGCUUAUGUGAUAACAGGUGACUAUAAUGUUAGCGCUGAGGCUAAUGGCUCUGUGAUAACAGGUCACUAUAAUGUUAGUGCUGAGGCUAAUGGCUCUGUGAUAACAGGUCACUAUAAUGUUAGCGCUGAGGCCAACUACUCAUCCUCAGUUGCUAUUAGUGGCUUCAGCGACAAAUUGUACUUUAUAAAAGAAGAAGCUCACAAUGAAAGUCAGGAAGCCGUUACCCUUUCCUCUUCCGCCAUUGGCUACACUGAAUAUGAAGAUUCCAUCGAAGCGACCAAUGACUACCAGAGUACUGUUACCAGCGGAGACGAAGGAACAUCACCUACGGUUACUAGUACCAGCGUGGAGCAGAGUGGCGAGAAUGAGAACCAGGAAGUGCUUCCUAUUGCGGCUCCUAUGAUUGGGUAUCCUUCCUUGGAGUCUGUGGAUCCUAAUGAAAGCACCACAAAGUCAACUGUUGUGCUGAACUACAUUGACUAUAUUGAUUCUGAACCUAGUUACUCUAACCACUAUAUGAAUGUAGCCAGCAGUGAAAAAUAUGCCCACUCUUCAUCCUCCACCUCUCCUCUUGAACCUGACAGUGACCACCUCCAAUCUGCUGAUGAUGCUGAACUAGAGGUACUAGGCUCUGGGUUGGAGGAAGAGGAGGAGAAUAGGAGCGGAGAGAACAAUUGUAGCAGCUGUAGCUGUGAUAACACCACCUCCAGUGCCAGUCACCAUCCCACCACCACCAUUGACAACACUGACUAUGAUUGGGGCUCGGCUGAAGUCAGUACGACAGGUAACCAGGGUAACAGCACAGCAGACAUUGAAGUCCCAACUGAAGUUAGUAGGAUUGUUCAGGGAAACAGCAGCAGCAUCUCCAUGGUACCUUCUGCUGAAAGCACAGUCAGCUCUGUCCAUGGUAACUACACAGUCAUUGUUCUAUCUGACUACAGUGACAACAUCACCACCACUACUCUGACCCCCACCAACCGUACCAGCGAAAGGAUUGUUGUGAGUACCACCCCCACCGCCGUGCUUGAGGAACCCACAGGAGAGAGCCGAUGUGGGACUGCAUGUUCUCCCAGCAAGGCCCUACCCUCCACCACCAGCAGUCUGGAAGCCAAAGAGGAAGAGAAGGACCAGAAAGCGUCUGAUGCUGCAAAGAAGCCCGUGUCAUUGUGGAACAGGGGCCGCUCGUUGUGGCCUCGGUUUCCAUGGAUGCGCAGGUAUUAGAACUACGGAUCUCUGGGACCGGGAAAUUUUGAGGGGAACCAAAUCUGAGGGGAACAUUUUUUGAGGGGAAUAUUUUUUGAGGGGGAACAGUUCUGAGGGGAUUAAUGAAAGAUAAGAGAUAUUAAUAUUUGUAUUGUUUUUUUUAGAUGUUGACAUGGAUGCAGUAGUUUGGGGGUUUAAUGUUCGUGCAUGUCCACUAUGUUGUUGUACACUACAAUAUGUAUAUUUUAAAUAAAUAGUCCUCAAUAGUGUUGUGUUGGUCUUUGUCUGAACUGUGUUGUGCAGCAUGCCUGCUGCUCCCAUUGAUUAAACAGAACAAGCA